CAAAGAACACGUUUGUCUACCAACUCUUUAAAGAGGAAACAAAAUGCAUCACAUGAAUUUAGCUGAGCAAAAAGCUGCGGGCUCACUCAACACCAGUAGGCUCCUCAUGACUGGGCUGUAGUACUCCCACACUACUCCCUCAAUACUCCUAUACUACUCCCCCAGUAUUCCAUCACUUCUCCCUCAGUAUUCCAUCACUACUCUCUCAGUAUUCCAUCACUACUCCCUCAGUAUUCCAUCACUACUCCCUCAGUAUUCCAUCACUACUCCCUCAGUAUUCCAUCACUACUCCCUCAGAAUUCCAUCACUACUCCCUCAGUAUUCCAUCACUACUCUCACACUACUCCAUCAAUACUCCAUCAAUACUCCAUACUACUCCCCCAGUAUUCCAUCACUACUCCCUCAGUAUUCCAUCACUACUCUCACACUACUCCAUCAAUACUCCAUCAAUACUCCAUACUACUCCCUCAGUAUUCCAUCACUACUCCCUCAGUAUUCCAUCACUACUCCCUCAGUAUUCCAUCACUACUCUCACACUACUCCAUCAAUACUCCAUCAAUACUCCAUACUACUCCCCCAGAAUUCCAUCACUACUCCCUCAGAAUUCCAUCACUACUCCCUCAGAAUUCCAUCACUACUCCCCCAGAAUUCCAUCACUACUCCCCCAGUAUUCCAUCAGUAUUCCAUCACUACUCCCCCAGAAUUCCAUCACUACUCCCUCAGAAUUCCAUCACUACUCCCCCAGAAUUCCAUCACUUCUCCCUCAGUAUUCCAUCAGUAUUCCAUCAGUAUUCCAUCACUACUCCCCCAUUAUUCCAUCACUACUCCCUCAGAAUUCCAUCACUACUCCCCCAGAAUUCCAUCACUACUCCCUCAGUAUUCCAUCACUACUCCCCCAGUAUUCCAUCAGUAUUCCAUCACUACUCCCCCAGUAUUCCAUCACUACUCCCUCAGUAUUCCAUCACUACUCUCUCAGUAUUCCAUCAGUAUUCCCUCAGUAUUCCAUCAAUCCUCAGGGUGUCUCUGACUCCCAUAUUGUUAGAAUGCCAGCAGCAG
rnacentral:lncRNA from 1 species